GGUGAAUGACCCCCUCAACUAAGAUUUCUUCUUCAUUCGAAUUACAUUUAAGCUCAUCACGAGCACUACCCAUCAAUUCAGAAAACAAGGGCCGCUCAUCAAACAUCAAAGGGACCGUUUCCAUUCCAACAAAAUCAACAUUGCCAAACUGAUCUUUCUCCACACUUCCUCCAUGAUAUAAGGUUACUAAAUUGUCCAUCUAAUUGAUAUACAAAACAACCAUGUUACUAGGCAUAUAACUAAUACAAAUAAAACACAUAAAUAUCUAUCUAAGAAAAUACGUAUGUACCUAAC
rnacentral:lncRNA from 1 species